rnacentral:lncRNA from 1 species
GAAAGAUCUCCCAUGCUCAUGGAUUGGCAGGAUUAAUUUAGUAAAAAUGGCCAUUUUACCAAAAGCAAUCUACAGAUUCAAUGCAAUCCCCAUCAAAAUACCAAUCCAAUUCUUCAAAGAGUUAGACAGAACAAUUUGCAAAUUCAUCUGGAAUAACAAAAAACCCAGGAUAGCUAAAGCUAUCCUCAACAAUAAAAGGACUUCAGGGGGAAUCACUAUCCCUGAACUCAAGCAGUAUUACAGAGCAAUAGUGAUAAAAACUGCAUGGUAUUGGUACAGAGACAGACAGAUAUACCAAUGGAAUAGAAUUGAAGACCCAGAAAUG